UUGCGAUUGAUCUCUGUAGAUGCCUGUUAAAUGUCACCGUACUGGAAAACAAGCUGUAAACUCCGAAUGUCGCAUGACUGCUCGCGGAAGAAAUGGCCGUUGUUAUCCCUAUCAUUGUGGUUCAAGUCCAACAAGCCCUAAACAAUCAAGAGGCCGAUAACCACUGGAACCUUGAUGAUGCUAACCCUACCAAGUGUUCCUUCAAACAAUUCCAGUCAUAUGUCCCUCCCACUUACGAGGGCACUGAGGGUGCUACAUCUAUUAUUCGUUGGUUCGAAGAAAUGGAUAGUAAUUCACGAAUUGUGACUGUCCUAACAAUCGUAAGGUAUGUUACACAAUUGGUCGUUCGUUAGGAAAUGUGUUAACAUGGUGGAAUGGAGAGAAGAACACGUGUGGUGCUGAAGAAGCCGCGUGUAGCCGUGUAUGACGCAACCGCUUGUAAAACCAAAGUUGGUCCUUUCUGGUCAUCGCGUGUAUGUUGACCUCGCCAUGCGGUUGGACAUUAUACCAACGUCAUUGACGACAAUCCAAACUACCAAUCAUGCCAGGUGGACUGAUAACCCUUCUUUGCUGCAGCCAUUUCAAACUUCUUAGUAGCAACUUCAUUCUCUUCUAAUCUCGUUUCAACGAAAAACCGAAUCCACCAUGAAGAGCUUCGCAAUUUGGCCUAACACAAAACCAACCAAUCUUCAACUCAUUAACGGUUCAUGGUACGUCGGGACUCAGGCGGGUUGGAUAAUGGGUCAAAAUGGGCAAAUCUGAGUAUGGAUCAUAAUGGGCAGGAUCUACCUACAAAGACUAGUUUUGUUCUUUUGACAUGUUGGAUCUCUUUAGGAAAAUAACACUAUUACAACAAUAAACUAACUUAUUUAAGAAAAA